UACGUAGGGUGCGAGCGUUGUCCGGAAUUACUGGGCGUAAAGAGCUCGUAGGUGGUUUGUCGCGUUGUUCGUGAAAACUCACAGCUUAACUGUGGGCGUGCGGGCGAUACGGGCAGACUGGAGUACUGCAGGGGAGACUGGAAUUCCUGGUGUAGCGGUGGAAUGCGCAGAUAUCUAGGAGGAACACCGGUGGCGAAGGCGGGUCUCUGGGCAGUAACUGACGCUGGAGGAGCGAAAAGCGUGGGGAGCGAACAGG
rnacentral:rRNA from 1 species